GACGAACGCUGGCGGCGUGCUUAACACAUGCAAGUCGAACGGAAAGGCCCUGCUUGCAGGGUACUCGAGUGGCGAACGGGUGAGUAACACGUGGGUGAUCUGCCCUGCACUUCGGGAUAAGCCUGGGAAACUGGGUCUAAUACCGGAUAGGAGCCAUUUUUAGUGUGAUGGUUGGAAAGUUUUUUUCGGUGUAGGAUGAGCUCGCGGCCUAUCAGCUUGUUGGUGGGGUAAUGGCAUACCAAGGCGGCGACGGGUAGCCGGCCUGAGAGGGUGGACGGCCACAGUGGGACUGAGAUACGGCACAGACUCCUACGGGAGGAAGCAGUGGGGAAUAUUGCACAAUGGGCGCAAGCCUGAUGCAGCGACGCCGCGUGGGGGAUGACGGCCUUCGGGUUGUAAACUCCUUUCGCUAGGGACGAAGCUUUUUGUGACGGUACCUAGAUAAGAAGCACCGGCUAACUACGUG
rnacentral:rRNA from 1 species